GGAUGAUAUAUGGACAUAAAAUAUAUGGACAUCUGUCACCCCACUCAUUGCCAGGGUUGAUUCAGCUGAUCUGGCUGGCUAGGCAGUAUCCUCUUCCUCCCUCCCCUCUUCAUAUGCAUCCCUCCCAAAGCUGUGCACUCAGUCAAAGAAGAAGGGACCUUCCCAGAUAGAGGAGGACCAUUCUUUGGUGAAGGGUAUACGAGUAGCUGUGCACCCUGCUAGAACCUCCAUAUAAGCUCUUGAGAAGAAAAGAAGAUUAAAAAAAUAAUAAACAGAGCAUUCAUUAGUAAGCUAUAGGA
rnacentral:snRNA from 1 species